rnacentral:rRNA from 1 species
CGACCCCAGGAUGGGCGAGGCCACCCGCCGAGUUUAAGCAUAUCAAUAAGC